UCUGUCCGCCCAGCCAUUGUGGGGCUAACACGCUAUUGUCGCUUGUCUACCCCCAAUGCGACCUAUUUUUUAGAUGCAAUAUCUUAUGCUCCUGAGGAAGCGCUAAGCGCGUAACAUGUAGAGCAAGCUCUUCACCAAAUCUUUGGAAUACUACACUGGAUAUGCAACUCAACAUUGUACCUGUAACUGUGCUCUCUAAAUGAAGCCUAUAUAUGAUAUGAUUGUAUAGUGUUGUAAUCACAGUUGUGGUAUUAGUUGCUGACCUAAUUUCGUUAAUUUCUUUGAUUUUAUGUCAUUCCACUUUUAUGAUAUUUCAUACUAAAUAAACUUUUAGUUUUCUA